GCUCAAAAGGAAGACGACAUAUUAUGGAGAAAAUGCAGCAAUUAUGUAACAACCAGUCUUACAUUACGGUCAAGUUGUAUGUACAUAACUACAAGAAGAGAAGAGGCAUCACCAGGGGUCCCUGUCCCUAAAUAAAAGCCCACUGCCAGAAGACAGGCCAUGUCAAAUCAUCAGCACUGAGGUAUGCACCAGCUUUGUGUUCUAAGCUGUGGACACUACGAUGAGACACAACCAACAAAAACAGCCUUAAAGGGAGAAUUCCGUCUACUUGGCAGCCAUAUAGAUAUAUAAAUUAAAAAAAAAAACUAAGUUCAGUACAACCUUCCAAUUCAUUCAUUGGUUUGAUCAGUUUUACGUUCACGUCUAAGAUGAAUUGAGAAUAUAAAAAGGGGAAGAAAAGACCUUAUUCUUACACACAUUAUAAAUC